rnacentral:rRNA from 1 species
UACAGAGAGUGCGAACGUUGUUCGGAAUUACUGGGCUUAAAGCGCACGUAGGCGGCAUCGUAAGUGUCUGGUGAAAUCCCACGGCUCACCCGUGGAACUGCCAGGCAUACUGGACAUCUCGAGGCACUCAGGGGCGAGCGGAACAAGUGGUGGAGCGGUGAAAUGCGUAGAUAUCACUUGGAACGCCAAUGGUGAAGACAGCUCGCUGGGGGUGUCCUGACGCUGAGGCGCGAAAGCCAGGGGAGCGAACGGG